ACCUGGUUUUAUAUGGCUACUUCUCUUACGUGUUAAGUUUCAUAAUGUAUUUACAUCUAUUUUACACACAAAAUGAACAGUACUGUGUAUAUUUGAUCUCCACGUCGAAAAUGAAACGGUAUAUAUUUAAUCUACACCUGUGGUACAUCGGAGUAUUUAAAAUGGCACAUUUUAGCAUUUAUCUUUAUAAGAAAAAGUACCUGAAAUGUUUUCCUGCAUUAAAAAAUACCCGACAUUUAAAGAUGUGUUUUUUUUUUCAGUUCAGUCAGUUUUCACCGACUGAACGGAGAGAAACGCAGAGAUAGUGAAAGAAAGCUCGGCUCCGUCGGGAGGACUUCGCACUCCGCCCGCCUCCUCGUCACUGCUUCAGCGCGGAGGCAGCGGUCCGGCAGUGACGUCUGCCGGGAGCUUAGCGACGGAGCUCUGAACACGAGCGAACAAGAAGAGAGAGGGGUUUUACUCCACCUUUGCUAAGCAGCCAGAACAAACGUAAAGUGAAGCGAGUUUAAGUUACUCAUUAAUUUUGGCUACUUUUUCUCCAGAAAACGGAGCGGGCGCGAGAAAGUGAAAGUGAGGAUGAAGCUCACUAUCUCACUGUGGCCAUUCUGAGAGGCCAGGUGCAAAGCAGACUGACCUCCUGAGUCCCUCACCAACAAACUGAGCCCACUACUACAGGAGCUGGACAACUAGGAGAGAGAAAGAAAGACAGAUGGAAAGAAGACGAUAUAAGCAUCAAUCACUUGAUGAAUAUCUGGAUAUGAAACUAUUCAUUUGUUCUUUUUAACUGGUGCAUGGUGGUAUAAAAAUAAAAAAACUCAAAACA